UGCCUUGUAGCCAAGUGGUAAGGCACUGGGCUCUGACCCCAGCAUCGUUAGUUCGAACCUAACCAAGGCAGCCA
rnacentral:tRNA from 1 species